rnacentral:rRNA from 1 species
UAGGGAAUCUUCGGCAAUGGGGGGAACCCUGACCGAGCAACGCCGCGUGAGUGAAGAAGGUUUUCGGAUCGUAAAGCUCUGUUGUUAAGGAAGAACGAGUGUGAGAAUGGAAAGUUCAUACUGUGACGGUACUUAACCAGAAAGGGACGGCUAACUACGUGCCAGCAGCCGCGGUAAUACGUAGGUCCCGAGCGUUGUCCGGAUUUAUUGGGCGUAAAGCGAGCGCAGGCGGUUAGAAAAGUCUGAAGUUAAAGGCAGUGGCUCAACCAUUGUAGGCUUUGGAAACUGUUUAACUUGAGUGCAGAAGGGGGGAGUGGAAUUCCAUGUGUAACGGUGAAAUGCGUAGAUAUAUGGAGGAACACCGGUGGCGAAAGCGGCUCUCUGGUCUGUAACUGACGCUGAGGCUCGAAAGCGUGGGGAGCGAACAGG